UACUUCUGCUUACGACAAACCCCGGCAAGUCAGCUCUUCGGAGACGGAAACGUGCACUCCCCGAUCAGGAGGUGUGCCCGUCCUGCACAACUCCGCAGUAAGAACAGCCUGUCGCCGGCACCAACAGUGACAAGACUCCCAACAUAAAGCUCCUCUCAUCUUUACAUUCCGGAAGUCUC